rnacentral:rRNA from 1 species
CCUACGGGUGACUGCAGUGAGGAAUAUUGGUCAAUGGGCGUGAGCCUGAACCAGCCCAGUAGCGUGAAGGAUGACUGCCCUACGGGUUGUAAACUUCUUUUAUAAAGGAAUAAAGUGAGGCACGUGUGCCUUUUUGUAUGUACUUUAUUAAUAAGGAUCGGCUAACUCCGGUCCAGCAGCCUCGGCAAUACGGAGGAUGCGAGCGUUAUCCGGAUUUAUUGGGUUUAAAGGGUGCGUAGGCGGAAUGCCAAGUCAGCGGUAAAACCGCGGGGCUCAACCUCGCUCCGCCGUUGAAACUGGCGUGCGUGAGUGGGCGAGAAGUAUGCGGAAUGCGUGGUGUAGCGGUGAAAUGCAUAGAUAUCACGCAGAACUCCGAUUGCGAAGGCAGCAUACCGGCGCCCAACUGACGCUGAAGCACGAAAGCGUGGGUAUCGAACAGGAUUAGAUACCCCAGUAGUC